rnacentral:rRNA from 1 species
AUUGAACGCUGGCGGCAGGCCUAACACAUGCAAGUCGAGCGGUAACAGGACCAGCUUGCUGGUUGCUGACGAGCGGCGGACGGGUGCGUAACACGUAGGAAUCUGCCCGGUAGUGGGGGAUAGCCCGGAGAAAUCCGGAUUAAUACCGCAUACGCCUUACGAGGGAAAGCAGGGGCUCUUGUUCUUCUAGGAGAGCCGGACCUUGUGCUAUCGGAUGAGCCUGCGUCGGAUUAGCUGGUUGGUGGGGUAAAGGCCUACCAAGGCGACGAUCCGUAGCUGGUCUGAGAGGAUGAUCAGCCACACUGGGACUGAGACACGGCCCAGACUCCUACGGGAGGCAGCAGUGGGGAAUAUUGCACAAUGGGC